UGCCACAUGUGGACAUUUCCCAGUUAAUGGUC
rnacentral:piRNA from 1 species